UACGAAGGGGGCUAGCGUUGCUCGGAAUGACUGGGCGUAAAGGGCGCGUAGGCGGUUUGCACAGUCAGAUGUGAAAUUCCUGGGCUCAACCUGGGGGCUGCAUUUGAUACGUGUGGACUGGAGUGGGGAAGAGGGUCGUGGAAUUCCCAGUGUAGAGGUGAAAUUCGUAGAUAUUGGGAAGAACACCCGUGGCGAAGGCGGCUCUCUGGGACGGUACUGACGCUGAGACGCGAAAGCGUGGGGAGCGAACAGG
rnacentral:rRNA from 1 species